AGUGAACGCUGGCGGUAGGCCUAACACAUGCAAGUCGAACGGCAGCACAGAGGAGCUUGCUCCUUGGGUGGCGAGUGGCGGACGGGUGAGGAAUACAUCGGAAUCUACUCUGUCGUGGGGGAUAACGUAGGGAAACUUACGCUAAUACCGCAUACGACCUACGGGUGAAAGCAGGGGACCUUCGGGCCUUGCGCGAUUGAAUGAGCCGAUGUCGGAUUAGCUAGUUGGCGGGGGAAAGGCCCACCAAGGCGACGAUCCGUAGCUGGUCUGAGAGGAUGAUCAGCCACACUGGAACUGAGACACGGUCCAGACUCCUACGGGAGGCAGCAGUGGGGAAUAUUGGACAAUGGGCGCAAGCCUGAUCCAGCCAUACCGCGUGGGUGAAAAAGGCCUUCGGGUUGUAAAGCCCUUUUGUUGGGAAAGAAAUCCAGCUGGCUAAUACCCGGUUGGGAUGACGGUACCCAAAGAAUAAGCACCGGCUAACUUCGUGCCAGCAGCCGCCGUAA
rnacentral:rRNA from 1 species